UACGUAUGGGGCAAGCGUUGCUCGGAUUCACUGGGUGUAAAGGGCGCGUAGGUGGUAUUGUAAGUCAAAUGUGAAAGCCCACGGCUCAACUGUGGAUACGCAUUUGAAACUGCGAUACUUGAGUUCAGAUGAGGAGAAUGGAAUUCUCGGUGUAGGGGUGAAAUCUGUAGAUAUCGGGAAGAACUCCAAUGGCGAAGGCAAUUCUCUAAUCUGAUACUGACGCUGAGGCGCGAAAGUAUGGGGAG
rnacentral:rRNA from 1 species